GACGAACGCUGGCGGCGUGCUUAACACAUGCAAGUCGAACGGAAAGGCCCUGCUUUUGUGGGGUGCUCGAGUGGCGAACGGGUGAGUAACACGUGAGUAACCUGCCCUUGACUUUGGGAUAACUUCAGGAAACUGGGGCUAAUACCGGAUAGGAGCUCCUGCUGCAUGGUGGGGGUUGGAAAGUUUCGGCGGUUGGGGAUGGACUCGCGGCUUAUCAGCUUGUUGGUGGGGUAGUGGCUUACCAAGGCUUUGGCGGGUAGCCGGCCUGAGAGGGUGACCGGCCACAUUGGGACUGAGAUACGGCCCAGACUCCUACGGGAGGCAGCAGUGGGGAAUAUUGCACAAUGGGCGGAAGCCUGAUGCAGCAACGCCGCGUGCGGGAUGACGGCCUUCGGGUUAUAAACCGCUUUCGCCUGUGACGAAGCGUGAGUGACGGUAAUGGGUAAAGAAGCACCGGCUAACUACGUG
rnacentral:rRNA from 1 species